UACAGAGGGGGCAAGCGUUGUUCGGAAUUACUGGGCGUAAAGGGCGCGUAGGCGGCCUGCUAAGUCGAACGUGAAAUCCCUGGGCUCAACCCAGGAACUGCGUCCGAUACUGGUUGGCUUGAAUCCGGGAGAGGGACGUGGAAUUCCAGGUGUAGCGGUGAAAAUGCGUAGAUAUCUGGAGGAACACCGGUGGCGAAGGCGGGUCUCUGGGCCGAUACUGACGCUGAGGAGCGAAAGCGUGGGGAGCGAACAGG
rnacentral:rRNA from 1 species